AUGUACUCCUACAUGUGGUUCUUGCGCGCCGUCAACGCCCAGCUGCCGACGCUCGCUACGUUUUUGGAGCU
rnacentral:sRNA from 2 species